CCAGCUAUCAAGCGUCUCCAGCAGCAGCUAGCUAACGCAAACAAGCCAGGCAGCAGGCAGGGGACUGAUGUGUGUGUUUGUGCGGUCAUCUUUCUGCUCUUCUCUCUCCUGAUACCCGUCGCAUACCCCGUUUUUUCUUUUACAACCGUCUCAUUUCUUCGUUGGUAGUCACACAACAACACAAAACUGAAGUUGCUUUGGUAAAGCACCGUUUUCCCCAUCCCUUCCUAUUAUUCUUAUUCUUUUGAGUAUUCUUCAUUGUCAAGCCGCCAAAGUGGAGAGUGUGAUUGCAGAAGGGGGUGCUUCUCGUUUCAGUGCUUCUUCGGGGGGAGGAGGUGGUAGGGGUGCACCUCAGCACUAUCCCAAGACUGUCGGCAACAGCGAGUUCCUGGGGAAAACCCCAGGGCAAAGCGUUCAGAGAUGGGUUCCUUCACGAAGCACUAGACGAGAUGUCAACUCCAGCAACGAAAAAGAGCGACACGAUGCAAUCUUCAGGAAAGUGAGGGG